UAGUACUAGAAAAAUUGUCUAAUGUUUCAAUGUGCACACACAUACGCACACACACACACACGGACACACACACGGACAGACAGACAUUUGCUCAGUUUGUCGAGCUGAAUCGAAUGGUAUAUAAUACUAUGGGUCUACAAGCGCUCUAUAAAAAGUACGUUUUGGGAGUGAAAUGAAAGCCUUUCAGGUACAACUUUGUUGUACGAGAAAGGCAAAAAGAUUACAAAGAAAAGGUGAAAAGACGAAUUUACUACAAACAAAAGAAUCGUCCACAACGCACAUGUUAAAACAAUAAGAAAAAGGUCCGUUCAAGGGGCCUUUUUCUUCCGUUCUAUUUUCAAGUUCGUCCUCGGGUGUUCAUGGUGGUGCAAACUCGUGCCGAAUAACUACAACCCUCGGCGGCAGUGUAACAGUCGACGUAAACACGAUAGGCAAACCGCGAGCAAGAUCGGAACGUUCCCGGCCAUUCCCGGCAUUCUUCGCCGAUGUCGCCAUUGUUACCGCGAACGAGAUCGGACAGAUCCCGGCCAUUCUCUUUCCAUCUACGCCUUUUUGCGACCGUUCAGCAUCCGCCAUUGCAAUCCGCUCCGCGGAUAGAGAAAUCCGCCAUGAUACCAUCAAACACCGGAGGUGGUCUAAGAAAGCCCAGGACCAUUGAGAACAACCCUCCAUCCGACCUAUCAUCGGGAUUCCAACCAAUGUUUCCCAACUACCACGAUUCGUACCACAAGGACCAGUGGUUACCCAGCAUCGAACCCCAGCCUACCAUCGAAAGCUUUCGCACCGAUCAUCGAGACUCCAGAUCCGGAUCCGGCAGCAACUAGCGAACAGCAAGUAUACCCUUUGUGACGUCGUAAAUAAAUAUUGUUGAUUAGUAUGUAGUAAA